rnacentral:rRNA from 1 species
UACGUAGGGGGCAAGCGUUGUCCGGAUUUAUUGGGCGUAAAGAGCUCGUAGGCGGUUCCGUAAGUCGAGUGUGAAAAAUCUGGGCUCAACCCAGUGGAGCACUCGAUACUGCGGUGACUGGAGUACGGUAGAGGAGUGUGGAAUUUGUGGUGUAGCGGUGAAAUGCGCAGAUAUCAGGAAGAACACCCGUGGCGAAGGCGGCUCUCUGGGACGGUACUGACGCUGAGACGCGAAAGCGUGGGGAGCGAACAGG